rnacentral:rRNA from 1 species
AGGGUUCGAUUCUGGCUCAGGAUGAACGCUGGCGGCGUGCUUAACACAUGCAAGUCGAACGGAGCCAAGAGAUGCUUGCAUCUCUGAAGCUUAGUGGCGGACGGGCGAGUAACGCGUGAGUAACCUGCCCUUUACCGGGGGGAUAACACUUAGAAAUAGGUGCUAAUACCGCAUAAGCGCACAGAGCCGCAUGGUUCAGUGUGAAAAACUCCGGUGGUAAAGGAUGGACUCGCGUCUGAUUAGCCAGUUGGCAGGGUAACGGCCUACCAAAGCGACGAUCAGUAGCCGGCCUGAGAGGGUGAACGGCCACAUUGGGACUGAGACACGGCCCAAACUCCUACGGGAGGCAGCAGGUGGGGGAUAUUGCACAAUGGGGGAAACCCUGAUGCCAGCGACGCCGCGUGAGUGAAGAAGUAUUUCGGUAUGUAAAGCUCUAUCAGCAGGGAAGAAAAUGACGGUACCUGACUAAGAAGCCCCGGCUAACUACGUGCCAGCCGCCGC